UAGCUAGUUGGUGAGGUAAAGGCUUACCAAGGCGACGAUCUGUAGCGGGUCUGAGAGGAUGAUCCGCCACACUGGAACUGAGACACGGUCCAGACUCCUACGGGAGGCAGCAGUGGGGAAUUUUGGACAAUGGGGGCAACCCUGAUCCAGCCAUGCCGCGUGAGUGAAGAAGGCCUUCGGGUUGUAAAGCUCUUUCGGCCGGGAAGAAAUCGCAUGGGCCAAUACCCUGUGUGGAUGACGGUACCGGAAUAAGAAGCACCGGCUAACUACGUGCCAGCAGCCGCGGUAAUACGUAGGGUGCGAGCGUUAAUCGGAAUUACUGGGCGUAAAGCGUGCGCAGGCGGUUUUGUAAGACAGGCGUGAAAUCCCCGGGCUUAACCUGGGAACUGCGUUUGUGACUGCAAGGCUAGAGUACGGCAGAGGGGGGUGGAAUUCCACGUGUAGCAGUGAAAUGCGUAGAGAUGUGGAGGAACACCAAUGGCGAAGGCAGCCCCCUGGGUCGAUACUGACGCUCAUGCACGAAAGCGUGGGUAGCAAACAGGAUUAGAUACCCUGGUAGUCCACGCCCUAAACUAUGUCAACUAGGUGUUGGGUGGGUAAAACCAUUUAGUACCGUAGCUAACGCGUGAAGUUGACCGCCUGGGGAGUACGGCCGCAAGGUUAAAACUCAAAGGAAUUGACGGGGACCCGCACAAGCGGUGGAUGAUGUGGAUUAAUUCGAUGCAACGCGAAAAACCUUAUCUACCCUUGACAUGCCAGGAACUUGCCAGAGAUGGCUUGGUGCCCGAAAGGGAGCCUGGACACAGGUGCUGCAUGGCUGUCGUCAGCUCGUGUCGUGAGAUGUUGGGUUAAGUCCCGCAACGAGCGCAACCCUUGUCGUUAAUUGCCAUCAUUUAGUUGGGCACUCUAACGAGACUGCCGGUGACAAACCGGAGGAAGGUGGGGAUGACGUCAAGUCCUCAUGGCCCUUAUGGGUAGGGCUUCACACGUCAUACAAUGGUCGGUACAAAGGGUUGCCAAGCCGCGAGGCGGAGCCAAUCCCAGAAAGCCGAUCGUAGUCCGGAUUGCAGGCUGCAACUCGCCUGCAUGAGGUCGGAAUCGCUAGUAAUCGUGGAUCAGCAUGUCACGGUGAAUACGUUCCCGGGUCUUGUACACACCGCCCGUCACACCAUGGGAGCGGGUUCCGCCAGAAGUAGGUAGCCUAACCGCAAGGGGGGCGCUUACCACGGCGGGGUUCGUGACUGGGGUGAAGUCGAAACAAGGUAGCCGUAGGGGAACCUGCGGCUG
rnacentral:rRNA from 1 species